GGCUGUAUCCUAAAUGCCCCAAGGGCACCAGAUCUCAUCUGAUUUUGGAAACUAAGCUGGGUCAGGUCUAGUUAGUGCUCAGCUGUGUGGGCUGCCAGAAAUACCAGGAAUAUACAGUAU
rnacentral:rRNA from 11 species